CGCCGCCGUGCGGGAGAGCUCCGGGUUCCGGCCCGGGCGCCGAAGGAGCAGCACCUCCCCGUCAAUCUCUCAGGCACCAGGGACCGUACGGACACU
rnacentral:ncRNA from 1 species